GAUGAACGCUGGCGGCGUGCCUAACACAUGCAAGUCGAACGAAACUUCUUUAUCUCCUAGUGCUUGCACUCACCGAUAAAGAGUUGAGUGCCGAACGGGUGAGUAACACGUCGGCAACCUGCCCUAAAGCGGGGGAUAACCCUUGGAAACAGGUGCUAAUACCGCAUAAUCAUAGUUACCGCAUGGUACCUAUGUAUAAGGUAGCUAUCCUACCGCUCUUGGAUGGAUACGUGGCGCAUUAGCUAGUUGGUCGGGUAUAGGCUUACGAUGGCAAGGAUGCGAAGCCGAAAUGAGAGGGAGGACGGACACAUUGGGAGUGAGACACAGCCCAAACACCGAGAGGAGGCAGCAGUAGAGAAUCUUCCACGAUGGGCGAGAGGCUAAUGGAGCAACGCGGCGUGGGUGAAGAAGGUGUUCGGAUCGGAAAGCGCUGUAGGUAGUGAGGAAGUAGCGUGAGAUUAACUGUGAACAUAUCGACGGUAUCGAAACAGAAAGCCACGGCUAACUACGUG
rnacentral:rRNA from 1 species